rnacentral:rRNA from 1 species
UAAGCGAGUAGUGAAAGCGUUCGGCUCAACCGAAUAUACAUUACUUGAACUGCUAAGCUUGAGGAUGAGAGAGGUUAUUGGAAUUCCCAGUGUAGGAGUGAAAUCCGUAGAUAUUGGGAGGAACACCGAUGGCGUAGGCAGAUAACUGGCUCAUUCCUGACACUAAGGCACGAAAGCGUAGGUAGCAAACGGGAUUAGAUACCCCGGUAGUCUACGCCGUAAACGAUGGAUGCUA